UACGUAGGGGGCAAGCGUUGUCCGGAAUCAUUGGGCGUAAAGAGCGUGUAGGCGGCCCGAUAAGUCCGCUGUGAAAGUCCAGGGCUCAACCCUGGAAUGCCGGUGGAUACUGGCGGGCUCGAAUCCGGAAGAGGUGAGUGGAAUUCCUGGUGUAGCGGUGAAAUGCGCAGAUAUCAGGAGGAACACCAAUGGCGAAGGCAGCUCACUGGGACGGUAUUGACGCUGAGACGCGAAAGCGUGGGGAGCAAACAGG
rnacentral:rRNA from 1 species